rnacentral:rRNA from 1 species
UACGUAGGGUGCAAGCGUUAAUCGGAAUUACUGGGCGUAAAGCGUGCGCAGGCGGUUGUGCAAGACCGAUGUGAAAUCCCCGGGCUUAACCUGGGAACUGCAUUGGUGACUGCAUUGCUGGAGUAUGGCAGAGGGGGGUGGAAUUCCACGUGUAGCAGUGAAAUGCGUAGAGAUGUGGAGGAACACCGAUGGCGAAGGCAGCCCCCUGGGCCAAUACUGACGCUCAUGCACGAAAGCGUGGGGAGCAAACAGG